AGCGAACGCUGGCGGCAGGCCUAACACAUGCAAGUCGAACGAACCUUUCGGGGUUAGUGGCGGACGGGUGAGUAACACGUGGGAACGUGCCUUUAGGUUCGGAAUAACUCAGGGAAACUUGUGCUAAUACCGAAUGUGCCCUUCGGGGGAAAGAUUUAUCGCCUUUAGAGCGGCCCGCGUCUGAUUAGCUAGUUGGUUGAGGUAAUGGCUCACCAAGGCGACGAUCAGUAGCUGGUCUGAGAGGAUGAUCAGCCACAUUGGGACUGAGACACGGCCCAAACUCCUACGGGAGGCAGCAGUGGGGAAUCUUGCGCAAUGGGCGAAAGCCUGACGCAGCCAUGCCGCGUGAAUGAUGAAGGUCUUAGGAUUGUAAAAUUCUUUCACCGGGGUCGAUAAUGACGGUACCCGGAGAAGAAGCCCCGGCUAACUUCGUG
rnacentral:rRNA from 1 species